rnacentral:misc_RNA from 1 species
GUGGAACCUCCCCAAAACGUUGUCCUCGCAUUUGUGCUAACUGCAGAAGGCUUUGGAGGAGGAACUGGUGGUGGCGGUGGGUAGGAAACCCCAGUGACAGUCUGUGAGAGCCCAACACCAGAGCUUCCACCAGAGUCGACACGAUCUAACCGCAGCCCACUCAACUCUCUAGUCAUAGAAACAGCACUGGAACUGCUAUCGCUGGAGGAUUUCUCUUUAUCACUGGAUUCAUCAGUGAUGCUGAUUCCGUGGGAGCUUUCAAGC